rnacentral:rRNA from 1 species
AUGGCCAAUGUAGUCCUCAACUUCAACGCGUUCCUAGAGAAAACCAAGCUGAAAGACGAUGGCGGCAACUAUACGGACUGGGUCCGAAACCUGAGGAUCAUCCUCAUAGCUGCCAAGAAAGAAUAUGUCCUACAAGCACCGCUAGGUGACACACCCGUCCCACAGAACCAAGACGUUACGAACGCUUGGCAGACACGUGUUGAUGACUACUCCCUCGUUCAGUGCGGCAUGCUUUACAGCUUAGAGCCGGGGCUCCAAAAGCGUUUUGAGAGACAUGGAGCAUAUGAGAUGUUCGAAGAGCUGAAAAUGGUUUUUCAAGCUCAUGUCCGGGUCGAGAGAUAUAAAGUCUCCGACAAGUUCUUCAGCUGUAAGAUGGAGGAGAAUAGUUCUGUCAGUGAGCACAUACUCACUAUGUCUGGGUUACAUAACCGCUUGACUCAGCUGGGAGUUAAUCUCCCGGAUGAUGCGGUCAUUGACAGAAUCCUCAAGUCGCUUCCACCAAGCUACAAGAGCUUUGUGAUGAACUUCAAUAUGCAGGGGACGGAAAAGACCAUUCCUGAAGUAUUUUCAAUGCUGAAAUCAGCAGAAGUAGAAGUCAAGAAGGAACAUCAAGUAUUGAUGGUGAAUAAAACCACUAAGUUCAAGAAGGGCAAGGGUAAAAAGAACUUCAAGAAGGACGGCAAGGGAGUUGCCGCGCCCGGCAAGCAAGCUGCCGGGAAGAAGCCAAAGAAUGGACCCAGGCCCGAGACUGAGUGCUUUUAUUGCAAGGGAAGUGGUCACUGGAAGCGAAACUGCCCCAAAUACUUAGCGGACAAGAAGGCCGGCAAAACAAAAGGUAUAUGUGAUAUACAUGUAAUUGAUGUGUACCUUACCAGUACUCGUAGUAGCUCCUGGGUAUUUGAUACCGGUGCAGUUGUUCACAUUUGUAACUCAAAGCAGGGGCUGCGGAAUAAGCGGAGACUGGCAAAGGACAAGGUGGUGAUGCGCGUCGGGAAUGGUUCCAAGGUCAAUGUGAUCGCCGUCGGCACGCUACCUCUACAUUUACCUUCGGGAUUAGUUUUAAACCUUAAUAAUUGUUAUUUAGUGCCAGCUUUGAGCAUGAACAUUGUAUCGGGAUCUCGUUUAAUUCAAGAUGGCUACUCAUUUCAAUCCGAGAAUAAUGGUUGCUCUAUUUAUAUGAGAGAUAUGUUUUAUGGUCAUGCUCCGAUGGUGAAUGGUUUAUUCUUAAUGAAUCUCGAGCGUAAUGCUACACAUGUUCAUAGUGUGAGUACCAAAAGAUGUAAGGUUGAUAAUGAUAGUCCCACAUACUUGUGGCACUGCCGCCUUGGUCACAUAGGUGUCAAACGCAUGAAGAGGCUCCAUGCAGAUGGACUUUUAGAGUCUCUUGAUUAUGAAUCAUUUGACACGUGCGAACCAUACCUCAUGGGUAAAAUGACCAAGACUCCGUUCUCAGAAACAAUGGAGCGAGCAACCAACUUAUUGGAAAUCAUACAUACUGAUGUGUGCGGUCCAAUGAGUGUUGAGGCUCGCGGUGGCUAUCGUUAUGUUCUCACCCUCACUGAUGACUUGAGUAGAUAUGGAUAUGUCUACUUAAUGAAACACAAGUCUGAGACCUUUGAAAAGUUCAAGAAAUUUCAGAGUGAGGUUGAGAAUCAACGUGAUAGAAAAAUCAAGUUUUUGUGA